AGAAUGAUAUAUUUUAUUAAUUAGUUUAUUUUCUUGUUCCGCAAGGGAAGGUUUCUUUCGUUUAUUUUUAAUUUUGUACCUUUUGAAUAAUGGUUAUACAAGUAGUUUCAUGAAUAUGAUUUCCCGAAAUAAGACGAUCUAAAAAUCCUAUGUUUUGGACACAACUUAGGUUUUGUUGAAAUAAGGCCUAAAUUAAGGAUUUUUAGGGAUGAAAUGUCUGUCAAGUCUUAUGAUAUCUGGAAUCCCUUUAAAAGUAUUUAGUACUUAGAAAACAGUUUUAAGGUGUCGAGAUCUUAAAAAUAAAGAAUAAUUAGUAAAAAUUUUAGUUUCUUGGAAUAAGCCCCUAGAAAGUUAACUUAUAAAAUCAUUUAUGAUAAACUAUAUCUUUGUUGUUAAAGGGAGAAUAGAAUUAAUUUAAAUUUUAUUUCAUCCUGUAUAAAUUAGUAAUAAAUUAAAUAAAUAUAUCAUUGAUUUUGGUAUAUUAUAAAUUUUAAUUAAAUUUAAAGAAGGAACUCGGCAAAUAUUACUUUCACCUGUUUAACAAAAACAUAGCCUAAAGCUUGAUUUUAGGUUUAGCCUGCCCAGUGUGGCUUAUCAACGGCCGCGGUACUUUGACCGUGCUAAGGUAGCAUAAUCAGUUGACUUUUAAUUGAAGUCUGGAAUGAACGGAUAAAUGGGGGUAGACUGUCUCCGUUAAACUUUAUUGAACUUACUUUUGAGGUGAAAAAGCCUUAACUAAAGAAAAAGACGAGAAGACCCUAGGAGCUUUAUAAUAAUUUUGUUGGGGCGACAAAGGAAAAUAUUGAUCUUCCUUUAAUAACUUAUUUUACAAGACGAAUGUUUAAGAAAGGUUAAGCUACCCUAGGGAUAACAGCAUAAUUUAUUAAAUAAGAUUGUGACCUCGAUGUUGGACUAGGAAUUAGAUAGGUGAGCAACCUUUCUUAACGGUUCUGUUCGAACUUUGUCUCCUACAUGAUCUGAGUUCAGACCGGCGUAAGCCAGGUCAGAUUCUAUCUUUUUAAUAUUAGUACUUUAGUACGAAAGGACCAAGUGCAAUUU
rnacentral:rRNA from 1 species